rnacentral:lncRNA from 1 species
GUUCUUCUAACAAUAUUAUUUAAAAAAUUUUCAUUCAACAUCAUUUGGUAUUAUUCUCUCGUCUCUCGUUAGGCUUGUCAUUCCGAUUCUAACUUAGUUUGUCAUUUAUCGAUCUUAACUCAGCCGAGAUUCAUCACAUAUUUAUGACUGGUGAAUCAGCUCUGUUAUCAAAUGUAACGACUUAAUCCGAAAAUAUGACCGGUGAAUCAGCUCUGUUACCAAAUAUAAUAACCUAACCAGCUAGCAAUAUAUUCAAAAUGUUUAAGCUCAGUUAUUAUUACUAGGUGGAGUUCUCUUAUACACCAAAUGAUAAUUUCAUUUCCAUCUAAUGUGGGACUAUUGAGGUGUCAUAAUUUGCAAUGCACAUGACUUGAUGUGCAGUGACAUAUAUUUAGAAGAAGUAAU